rnacentral:rRNA from 1 species
UACGUAGGGGGCAAGCGUUGUUCGGAAUUACUGGGCGUAAAGGGCGCGUAGGCGGCCCAGCAAGUCUGGUGUGAAAGCCCGGGGCUCAACCCCGGAAUGGCUUUCGAAACUGCUGAGCUAGAGUACAGAAGGGGCAACCGGAAUUCCCAGUGUAGCGGUGAAAUGCGUAGAUAUUGGGAAGAACACCUGAGGCGAAGGCGGGUUGCUGGGCUGAUACUGACGCUGAGGCGCGAAAGCCAGGGGAGCAAACGGG